GCCGGAGUAGCCUAACUUGGUAAGGCGCUAGCCUCAAGAGCUGGUUGACGUACUGACCCUGCGUCUCGCGGGUUCAAAUCCCGUCUCCGGCG
rnacentral:tRNA from 1 species